rnacentral:rRNA from 1 species
UACGUAGGUGGCGAGCGUUAUCCGGAAUGAUUGGGCGUAAAGGGUGCGUAGGCGGCCUGCUAAGUCUGGAGUGAAAGGUACCGGCUCAACCGGUACAGGCUCUGGAAACUGGCGGGCUAGAGAGCAGGAGAGGGCGGUGGAACUCCAUGUGUAGCGGUAAAAUGCGUAGAUAUAUGGAAGAACACCAGUGGCGAAGGCGGCCGCCUGGCCUGUUGACUGACGCUGAGGCACGAAAGCGUGGGGAGCAAACAGG